rnacentral:rRNA from 1 species
UACGUAGGGUGCGAGCGUUGUCCGGAAUUAUUGGGCGUAAAGGGCUCGUAGGCGGUUUGUCGCGUCGGGAGUGAAAACCUAUGGCUUAACUGUGGGCUUGCUUUCGAUACGGGCAGACUAGAGGUAUGCAGGGGAGAACGGAAUUCUCGGUGUAGCGGUGAAAUGCGUAGAUAUCGAGAGGAACACCUGCGGCGAAGGCGGGUAGCUGGGCCGACACUGACGCUGAGGCGCGAAAGCUAGGGGAGCGAACGGG